UAAAGUGGUUAGUGGCGACGGGUGAGUAACACGUGGGCAAUCUGCCCUUCACUCUGGGACAAGCCCUGGAAACGGGGUCUAAUACCGGAUAAUACUCUGUCCCUCAUGGGGCGGGGUUAAAAGCUCCGGCGGUGAAGGAUGAGCCCGCGGCCUAUCAGCUUGUUGGUGGGGUAAUGGCCUACCAAGGCGACGACGGGUAGCCGGCCUGAGAGGGCGACCGGCCACACUGGGACUGAGACACGGCCCAGACUCCUACGGGAGGCAGCAGUGGGGAAUAUUGCACAAUGGGCGAAAGCCUGAUGCAGCGACGCCGCGUGAGGGAUGACGGCCUUCGGGUUGUAAACCUCUUUCAGCAGGGAAGAAGCGCAAGUGACGGUACCUGCAGAAGAAGCACCGGCUAACUACGUGCCAGCAGCCGCGGUAAUACGUAGGGUGCGAGCGUUGUCCGGAAUUAUUGGGCGUAAAGAGCUCGUAGGCGGCUUGUCACGUCGGAUGUGAAAGCUCGGGGCUUAACCCCGAGUCUGCAUUCGAUACGGGCUAGCUAGAGUGUGGUAGGGGAGAUCGGAAUUCCUGGUGUAGCGGUGAAAUGCGCAGAUAUCAGGAGGAACACCGGUGGCGAAGGCGGAUCUCUGGGCCAUUACUGACGCUGAGGAGCGAAAGCGUGGGGAGCGAACAGGAUUAGAUACCCUGGUAGUCCACGCCGUAAACGUUGGGAACUAGGUGUUGGCGACAUUCCACGUCGUCGUGCCGCAGCUAACGCAUUAAGUUCCCCGCCUGGGGAGUACGGCCGCAAGGCUAAAACUCAAAGGGAAUUUGACG
rnacentral:rRNA from 1 species